ensembl:snoRNA SNORA70 Small nucleolar RNA SNORA70
CUGCAGCCAAUUAAGACGACCAGGUUGCUUUCCUCAUGGGGGCCUUUGGAGGCUACGGCUGCAAGCAGCAGCCUCCGUGACGGUGCACACAGCCUGCUGCCAAUAUGAAUUGCCCUAAGGGACAGUGGAGAUAAUU